rnacentral:pre_miRNA from 1 species
UCAACCCAUUUAACCUUCUAACCCAUCAAAUUAAAUGAGUUCAUGGGUUGACUCAACUCAUUUAGUUAUGAGUUGAGUCAACCCAUGAACUCAUUUUACUCUAAACUCAUUGGGUAAUGAGU